GUGGGGAAUAUUGCGCAAUGGGCGGAAGCCUGACGCAGCGACGCCGCGUGGGGGAUGACGGCCUUCGGGUUGUAAACCUCUUUCAGCAGGGACGAAGCGAAAGUGACGGUACCUGCAGAAGAAGCACCGGACAACUACGUGCCAGCCGCCGCGGUAAUACGUAGGGUGCAAGCGUUGUCCGGAAUUAUUGGGCGUAAAGAGCUCGUAGGCGGUUUGUUGCGUCGGCUGUGAAAUCCCGAGGCUCAACCUCGGGUCUGCAGUCGAUACGAGCAAACUAGAGUGUUGCAGGGGAGACUGGAAUUCCUGGUGUAGCGGUGAAAUGCGCAGAUAUCAGGAGGAACACCGGUGGCGAAGGCGGGUCUCUGGGCAACAACUGACGCUGAGGAGCGAAAGCGUGGGGAGCAAA
rnacentral:rRNA from 1 species